rnacentral:rRNA from 1 species
UACGUAGGGUGCAAGCGUUAAUCGGAAUUACUGGGCGUAAAGCGUGCGCAGGCGGUGAUGUAAGACAGUUGUGAAAUCCCCGGGCUCAACCUGGGAACUGCAUCUGUGACUGCAUCGCUGGAGUGCGGCAGAGGGGGAUGGAAUUCCGCGUGUAGCAGUGAAAUGCGUAGAUAUGCGGAGGAACACCGAUGGCGAAGGCAAUCCCCUGGGCCUGCACUGACGCCCAUGCACGAAAGCGUGGGGAGCAAACAGG